UACGUAGGGUGCGAGCGUUAAUCGGAAUUACUGGGCGUAAAGCGUGCGCAGGCGGUUCGUGAUGUCUGAUGUGAAAAGCCCCCGGGCUCAACCUGGGAAUUGCAUUGGAAACUAGCGGGCUGGAGUGUGGCAGAGGGGGGGUGGAAUUCCACGUGUAGCAGUGAAAUGCGUAGAGAUGUGGAGGAACACCGAUGGCGAAGGCAGCCCCCUGGGCUAACACUGACGCUCAUGCACGAAAGCGUGGGGAGCAAACAGG
rnacentral:rRNA from 1 species